UGGGGAAUUUUGGACAAUGGGCGAAAGCCUGAUCCAGCCAUGCCGCGUGAGUGAAGAAGGCCUUCGGGUUGUAAAGCUCUUUCAGCCGGAAAGAAAUCGCGCAGGAUAAUACUCUGCGUGGAUGACGGUACCGGAAGAAGAAGCACCGGCUAACUCCGUG
rnacentral:rRNA from 1 species